rnacentral:lncRNA from 1 species
CAGCAGCAGCAGCAGCAGCUAUAAUAAAAAUAUAUCUGUCCAGCAAGCCUGCAGAGUCUCUUCCUGUCAUUUAUUCCACAGGAAUACUUAAUUGCUCAUGCACAGUUGCGUUCAAGUGUUACAUGUUUUGCACAAAUACAGCACUGUUUGCAACAGCAACAAAAAACACGGAGUAGUUAAAUUAAUUAUGGUACUUUCGUAUGAAGGAAUACUAUGCUUUUAUUAAAGGAUGAGGUGAAUCUAUUUGAAAAGAUGUCUGUGGCAUAUUGAUUGGUUAAAAGCCAAACCAAAAGAAAAUAUGUUGCAAAACAGUAUGUCUAGCAUGACUGUUUCUGGUACAAUGAAAAAUGAUAUGCAAGGUAUAUGUAAACAUGUCAUUAAAAUUUGCUAGUAUAUGCAAAAUAUUGACCCUAAAAAUCAUUCCAUAUUGAAUGGGAAAUAUAGCACUUAUACCUGUUUUUCUGGGGAUUUGGAAAGCUUAUGCUUUGUUAUAAGCUCUAAUUUCCAGCUUCCACUGAAUGAACAGCCUUUUGGUUUUUUUUUUUUUUUUUUCAGUGUUUGAAGACUUUAUUGCGUUAGACAAACUGAAGUCCUUGGAAACACAGUUCCACCGAAUGCGUUCUUUAUGCACCGUACUCAAAAAUAUACAAUUUAAAGCACUUAAAACCAACUUAAAGUACUUCUCAUAUUAAACCAAUUUUCCCAUUUUUUUUUCAGUUUUGACAUUAAAAAAAAAAAAGGAACAGAAAGAGUACAUUAAAAGAAAACUGUCAGCGCGGGUUUUAAAAACGUUUGGUUUACCUGUGAUAUUAUUUCCAAGGCUGCUUUGCCGUGGAGACGCAGAUGCCUCGCGCUCAAAGCUGUGUGAUCACCAACCGUCUGAGGGGUGAGGACCACACAGAGCGCCGGGGAGGGCAGGCUGGGGGCACUGCCCGCAUGCCUGCAGGACGAGGAGGGUCUUCAGACAGAGGGCGGGUGCGGUUAGGAGGGAGGGUGGUCCUCCCCUCGGAUGCUUCGGUACUUAGCCAUGUCUUCUGGAAAUACUU